rnacentral:rRNA from 1 species
UACGUAGGGCGCAAGCGUUGUCCGGAAUUAUUGGGCGUAAAGAGCUCGUAGGCGGCCAGUUGCGUCUGCUGUGAAAUCCCGGGGCUCAACCCCGGGCGUGCAGUGGAUACGGGCUGGCUAGAGGCAGGCAGGGGAGAACGGAAUUCCCGGUGUAGCGGCGAAAUGCGCAGAUAUCGGGAGGAACACCAGUGGCGAAAGCGGCUUCCUGGUCCAGCACCGACGUUCAGGCACGAAAGCGUGGGGAGCAAACAGG